rfam:Theobroma cacao cultivar Matina 1-6 chromosome 3, whole genome shotgun sequence.
UCGGCCUUAGCUCAGUGGCAAGAGCAGAGGACUUAUCCUCUAGGUCGCUGGUUCGAUUCCGGCAGGUCGAG